GUCGAGAAUCUUUCGCAAUGGGCGAAAGCCUGACGAAGCGACGCCGUGUGAAUGAAGAAGGCCUUCGGGUUGUAAAGUUCUUUCGCCUGGGAACAAGGGAUAUAUAUAAAUAAUAUGUAAACUUGAGGGUACUAGGUAAAGAAGCACCGGCUAACUCCGUGCCAGCAGCUGCGGUAAUACGGAGGGUGCAAGCAUUAAUCGGAAUUACUGGGCGUAAAGGGCGCGUAGGCGGUUUGGAAAGUCACAUGUGAAAUUUCAGGACUUAACCCUGGAGCUGCAUGUGAAACUCUCAAACUGGAGGUAAAGCGGAGAAAAUGGAAUUCCCCAAGUAGCGGUGAAAUGCGUAGAUAUGGGGAGGAACACCGGUGGUGAAGGCGAUUUUCUAGCUUUAAACUGACGCUGAUGCGCGAAAGCGGGGGGAGCAAACAGGAUUAGAAACCCUGGUAGUCC
rnacentral:rRNA from 1 species